AAAUUGAAGAGUUUGAUCAUGGCUCAGAUUGAACGCUGGCGGCAGGCCUAACACAUGCAAGUCGAACGGUAACAGGAAGCAGCUUGCUGCUUUGCUGACGAGUGGCGGACGGGUGAGUAAUGUCUGGGAAACUGCCUGAUGGAGGGGGAUAACUACUGGAAACGGUGGCUAAUACCGCAUAACGUCGCAAGACCAAAGAGGGGGACCUUCGGGCCUCUUGCCAUCAGAUGUGCCCAGAUGGGAUUAGCUUGUUGGUGAGGUAACGGCUCACCAAGGCGACGAUCCCUAGCUGGUCUGAGAGGAUGACCAGCCACACUGGAACUGAGACACGGUCCAGACUCCUACGGGAGGCAGCAGUGGGGAAUAUUGCACAAUGGGCGCAAGCCUGAUGCAGCCAUGCCGCGUGUAUGAAGAAGGCCUUCGGGUUGUAAAGUACUUUCAGCGGGGAGGAAGGUGUUGUGGUUAAUAACCGCAGCAAUUGACGUUACCCGCAGAAGAAGCACCGGCUAACUCCGUGCCAGCAGCCGCGGUAAUACGGAGGGUGCAAGCGUUAAUCGGAAUUACUGGGCGUAAAGCGCACGCAGGCGGUCUGUCAAGUCGGAUGUGAAAUCCCCGGGCUCAACCUGGGAACUGCAUUCGAAACUGGCAGGCUUGAGUCUUGUAGAGGGGGGUAGAAUUCCAGGUGUAGCGGUGAAAUGCGUAGAGAUCUGGAGGAAUACCGGUGGCGAAGGCGGCCCCCUGGACAAAGACUGACGCUCAGGUGCGAAAGCGUGGGGAGCAAACAGGAUUAGAUACCCUGGUAGUCCACGCCGUAAACGAUGUCUACUUGGAGGUUGUGCCCUUGAGGCGUGGCUUCCGGAGCUAACGCGUUAAGUAGACCGCCUGGGGAGUACGGCCGCAAGGUUAAAACUCAAAUGAAUUGACGGGGGCCCGCACAAGCGGUGGAGCAUGUGGUUUAAUUCGAUGCAACGCGAAGAACCUUACCUGGUCUUGACAUCCACGGAAGUUUUCAGAGAUGAGAAUGUGCCUUCGGGA
rnacentral:rRNA from 1 species